rnacentral:rRNA from 1 species
GACGAACGCUGGCGGCGUGCUUAACACAUGCAAGUCGAACGGAAAGGCCCCUUCGGGGGUACUCGAGUGGCGAACGGGUGAGUAACACGUGAGUAACCUGCCCUUGACUUCGGGAUAACUUCAGGAAACUGGGGCUAAUACCGGAUAGGAAUCCUUGCUGCAUGGUGGGGGUUGGAAAGCUUCGGCGGUUUUGGAUGGACUCGCGGCUUAUCAGCUUGUUGGUGGGGUAGUGGCUUACCAAGGCUAUGACGGGUAGCCGGCCUGAGAGGGCGACCGGCCACAUUGGGACUGAGAUACGGCCCAGACUCCUACGGGAGGCAGCAGUGGGGAAUAUUGCACAAUGGGCGGAAGCCUGAUGCAGCAACGCCGCGUGCGGGAUGACGGCCUUCGGGUUGUAAACCGCUUUCAGCAGGGGCGAAGCUUGUGGUGACGGUACCUGCAGAAGAAGCACCGGCUAACUACGUG